ACAGUUGCACUUUGGGCUCGCUGCUUGCUAGGUGGCAUGGCUGAACCGGCACCCGCCGUGUGGCCUUCGGCCCCGGAUCUGACUCCCGCGCCCGGGACUCCGAGCGAAGCUGCGCCGCCGCGGGACAACUGGGUGUACUGGGCCAUGCUGCCGCCGCCACCACCUCCUCUGUCGUCCCCAGUGGCGGGCUCGGAGCAGAGCCGGAAGGGACAGCCUCACGUGCUGCCCCAGCCUCCCUCCGGAGCGCUUCCACCGUUCGAUGCUCAGAUUCUUCCCGCGGCGCAGCCUCCUUUCGAUGCCCAGGCUCCGCCCGAUGCUCAAUCUCAGUUCAGCGGCCAGCAGGCCUGGAAUUUGCAAGCCUCCACGCCUUGGUACUGGGGAUUGUCUCCUAAUGGUUUUUCCACGUACCACACGUCUUACCAAUCUCCGGUUACACAUUCUUAUUUUCCACGAUCACAUGAUGCAAAAUUCAAUUUGCCUCAAAACAGAAAACAGAAAACGAAGAAAAGAAAGGAACCGGUUUUCCAUUUUUUCUGUGAUACCUGUGAUCGUGGCUUUAAAAAUCAAGAAAAGUAUGACACACACAUGUCUGAACAUACAAAAUGCCCUGAAGUAGAUUGCUCCUUUAGUGCACAUGAGAAGAUUGUCCAGUUCCAUUGGAGAAAUAUGCAUGCUCCUGGUAUGAAGAAGAUCAAGCUAGACACUCCAGAGGAGAUUGCAAGAUGGAGGGAAGAGAGACGAAAGAAACUGCCAAACUUGGUUGGGGAGAGGUUUGGACUCUAGCGUUGCUGGUUGACCUAGGGAAGCAUUCAGAGGAAGAGUGCCUGAAGGUCUGCAUCAGUUAACUGUGUCCUCCAGGAGCCUUGCGUCCACGUCUUACUUGAAAGCGGCCCAUCCUUCCUAGGAAAAAACAAGCUCAAGAAACUACCCAACUCUGGCCAAUAUUGAAAGGAAGAAAAAGUUACAACUGGAAAAGGCAAAGAGAGGAGAAGUGUUGACAACCACACAGUAUGGCAAAAUGAAGGGCAUGUCCAGACAUUCACAGAUGGCAAAGAUCAGAAGUCCUGGUAAACAUCAUAAAUGGAGAAGAGGUGGGGCUAGGCAGAGAGCAGUCGUUGGACUAGGAAAUCAUGCCAGAGAUUCGAAGCCUGAAGUUCCAUCCAAGGCUAAUGUGGACCCUCUAGGUGCUUUGAUCCACAGCGACUCUGAGUCUGAUAAGGAAGAGAAAGCGCAAAGGACUGUAGUGCCCAAGGAAGUGACACCAGCCUUGUGUUCGCUGAUGAGCAGCUACGGCGAUGUCUCGGGGUCAGACAGUGAGCCAGAAGAAGCUCCCAUCAAGACUGAAGCAGAAGUUCUGGCAGAAAACCAUGUUCUUCAUAGCAGUCCUCCCAAGAGUCCAAAACAAAAUGUUCAAACAACUGGUAGAACAGUCUCAAGAUCCAAGUGGGAGAACCAGAGGAACGGACUCAGAAAGAUAAGCCUUAAGCGGAAAAAGAGCCACUGUCACCCAUUAUUUGAACCAAGAACACAUCACCCAUAUCUCCUGGAAAUGCUUCUAGCUCCAGAUAUUCGACAUGAAAGAAAUGUGAUUUUGCAGUGUGUUCGAUAUAUCAUCAAAAAAGACUUUUUUGGACUUAAUACUGAUUCUGUGAAAACUGAAGAAGUGUAGAUGUCUCCCGUUUCCACACUCAUCUGUAAAGCACCUGAGAGAACACCAUCCUUGAGUAAGGAGAGAAAAUCAGCAACUUCUGCAGCUGGGAUCAGUAAUUGAACUGGAAGCCUCAUGGGCGUCAUGUUGGAUUUUAAGUCUGUCCUCAGGCUUUAUGCAAAUAAAUGCAUAGCUGGUCUUUUUUA